GGCGAACGGGUGAGUAACACGUGGGUGAUCUGCCCUGCACUCUGGGAUAAGCCUGGGAAACUGGGUCUAAUACCGGAUAGGACCAUGCUUUAGUGUGUGUGGUGGAAAGUUUUUUCGGUGUAGGAUGAGCCCGCGGCCUAUCAGCUUGUUGGUGGGGUGAUGGCCUACCAAGGCGACGACGGGUAGCCGGCCUGAGAGGGUGAUCGGCCACAUUGGGACUGAGAUACGGCCCAG
rnacentral:rRNA from 1 species